UUUCAUAUAUCAACUCCGACUCAUGUUUUUCUUUUUCUUCUGUGCUCCACCAUAUCCUUGUUCCCUUUUAUUUUUCUUCUACCUCCAUUUUCCACUCAAAAUGAAUCUUAAGAAAAGGAAACAUUUGUGGCUAUUAAAUCCGAAGUCGAGCUCAACCCAUUUUUCCGUAAACGGCUGCAUUUCUCUUGCAGAAAGAGUACGAAAGGAACCUAGAGUAGUAAGCUAGAUCGAGAUUAUAGCAAGCUUUUGAAGCUUGAAGUGUUAGUAUUUUCUUCUUCUAUGAUGUGUAUAGCACGAGGAUAAUCUGGGGUACUUUAUUUUCGACUUUCAAUCUAUGUUUCAUAGUAUUUGCCGUGUACUAAAUGCAUUUUAAGUAAAUGGUGUACUUGUUCACUGUGUAUACAUUAUGCUUAUCUCAAUUUUUAAAAGACAUGUACUGAACUUUAACAGCUAUGUAUACCCGUUUUCUUUA